rnacentral:rRNA from 1 species
GACGAACGCCGGCGGCGUGCUUAACACAUGCAAGUCGAACGAUGAAGCCGGAGCUUGCUCUGGUGAAUUAGUGGCGAACGGGUGAGUAACACGUGAGUAACCUGCCCUUGACUCUGGGAUAACUGCGGGAAACUGUAGCUAAUACCGGAUACGACCCUCGGAGGCAUCUCCUGGGGGUGGAAAGAAUUUCGGUCAAGGAUGGACUCGCGGCCUAUCGGCUAGUUGGUGAGGUAAAGGGUCACCAAGGCGACGACGGGUAGCCGGCCUGAGAGGGUGACCGGCCACACUGGGACUGAGACACGGCCCAGACUCCUACGGGAGGCAGCAGUGGGGAAUAUUGCACAAUGGGCGCAAGCCUGAUGCAGCAACGCCGCGUGAGGGAUGACGGCCUUCGGGUUGUAAACCUCUUUUAGCAGGGAAGAAGCGAAAGUGACGGUACCUGCAGAAAAAGCACCGGCUAACUACGUGCCAGCCGCCGCCGUAA